rnacentral:rRNA from 1 species
GACGAACGCUGGCGGCGUGCUUAACACAUGCAAGUCGAACGGAAAGGCCCUGCUUUUGUGGGGUGCUCGAGUGGCGAACGGGUGAGUAACACGUGAGUAACCUGCCCUUGACUUUGGGAUAACUUCAGGAAACUGGGGCUAAUACCGGAUAGGAGCUCCUGCUGCAUGGUGGGGGGUGGAAAUUUUCGGCGGUUGGGGAUGGACUCGCGGCUUAUCAGCUUGUUGGUGGGGUAGUGGCUUACCAAGGCUUUGACGGGUAGCCGGCCUGAGAGGGUGACCGGCCACAUUGGGACUGAGAUACGGCCCAGACUCCUACGGGAGGCAGCAGUGGGGAAUAUUGCACAAUGGGCGGAAGCCUGAUGCAGCAACGCCGCGUGAGGGAUGACGGCCUUCGGGUUGUAAACCGCUUUCGCCUGGGACGAAGCGUGAGUGACGGUAAUGGGUAAAGAAGCACCGGCUAACUACGUG